UGCGAUAACGGACGAGACCUUAACCUGCUAAAUAGGGCUGCGAGCAUCUGCUCGUGGGCUCUUCUUAGAGGGACUAUGGGUAUCAAACCCAUGGAAGUUUGAGGCAACAACAGGUCUGUGAUGCCCUUAGACGUUCUGGGCCGCACGCGCGCUACACUGACGGAGCCAGCAAGUACAACCUUGGUCGAGAGGCCCGGGUAAUCUCGUGAAACUCCGUCGUGCUGGGGAUAGAGCAUUGUAAUUUUUGCUCUUCAACGAGGAAUUCCUAGUAAGCGCAAGUCAUCAGCUUGCGUUGAUUACGUCCCUGCCCUUUGUACACACCGCCCGUCGCUACUACCGAUUGAAUGGCUUAGUGAGGCUUCAGGAUUGGCGCCGCGGGAGGGGCAACUUUCCCAUGGCGCGGAGAAUCUAGACAAACUUGGUCAUUUAGAGGUCGUAAAAGUCGUAACAAGGUUUCCGUAGGUGAACCUGCGGAAGGAUCAUUA
rnacentral:rRNA from 1 species